rnacentral:rRNA from 1 species
GACAGAGGUGCCGAGCGUUAUGCGGAAUCACUGGGCUUAAAGCGUGUGUAGGCGGGUCGUUAAGUGUCUUGUGAAAUCCCACCGCUCAACGGUGGAACUGCUGGGCAUACUGGCGAUCUUGAGCCACCUAGGGGCAGACGGAACAAGCGGUGGAGCGGUGAAAUGCGUAGAUAUCGCUUGGAACGCCGACGGUGAAAACAGUCUGCUGGGGGUGUGCUGACGCUGAGACACGAAAGCCAGGGGAGCGAACGGG